GACAGAGGGUGCAAACGUUGUUCGGAAUUACUGGGCAUAAAGCGCACGUAGGUGGUCCGCUAAGUCGCGUGUGAAAUCCCCCGGCUCAACCGGGGAAAUGCGCGUGAUACUGGCGGGCUUGAGAUCGGGAGGGGUGAAUGGAACUCCAGGUGGAGCGGUGAAAUGCGUAGAUAUCUGGAGGAACACCGGUGGCGAAGGCGGGUUGCUGGGCCGAUACUGACGCUGAGGAGCGAAAGCGUGGGGAGCAAACAGG
rnacentral:rRNA from 1 species